rnacentral:misc_RNA from 1 species
GAUGAAGAACGCAGCGAAAUGCGAUACGUAGUGUGAAUUUCAGAAUUCAGUGAAUCAUCGAAUCUUUGAACGCACAUUGCACCUCUCGGUAUUCCGGGAGGUAUGCCUGUUCGAGCGUCAUUUGUACCCUCAAGCUCUGCUUGGUGUUGGGUGUUUGUUCCGCCUCUGUGUGUGAACUCGCCUCAAAACAAUUGGCAGCCGGCGUACUUGUUUCGGAGCGCAGCACAUUUUGCGAUCCAGAUCAACGUACAGCGGCAUCCAAGAAGCCUUAUUUAACGCUCUUGACCUCGGAUCAGGUAGGGAUACCCGCUGAACUUAAGCAUAUCAAUAAGCGGAGGA